rnacentral:rRNA from 1 species
UACGUAGGGUGCAAGCGUUGUCCGGAAUUAUUGGGCGUAAAGAGCUCGUAGGCGGUUUGUUGCGUCGGCUGUGAAAUCCCGAGGCUCAACCUCGGGUCUGCAGUCGAUACGAGCAAACUAGAGUGUUGCAGGGGGAGACUGGAAUUCCUGGUGUAGCGGUGAAAUGCGCAGAUAUCAGGAGGAACACCAAUGGCGAAGGCAGAUCUCUGGGCCGUAACUGACGCUGAGGAGCGAAAGCAUGGGGAGCGAACAGG